GACAGAGGUGCCGAGCGUUAGGCGGAAUCACUGGGCGUAAAGCGCGUGUAGGCGGCUUUGCAAGUCGGGUGUGAAAGCCCUCAGCUCAACUGAGGAAGUGCGCCCGAAACUGCAGAGCUUGAGUGCCGGAGAGGGUGGCGGAAUUCCCCAAGUAGAGGUGAAAUUCGUAGAUAUGGGGAGGAACACCGGUGGCGAAGGCGGCCACCUGGACGGUAACCGACGCUGAGACGCGAAAGCGUGGGGAGCAAACAGG
rnacentral:rRNA from 1 species